GCAAAAUAACAAUGCUCUAAACUAAUACAACAUUUUGGUGGAAUUUUGUGCUGUAUAAAUUAUUAAUACGAUAUACAGUGUAUUAUAUUAUAUUUUAAAAAAACGCGACUGUAAUAGGCUAGGAUGUAUUCUAUUAUUUUUUCUCCUAAGGCUGUAUUAUAUUAUCCAUUAAUCUCUCUCACCUAAACUCUACGAUUUUCUCCGUGCCGGCCCUAUCUUCCGGCGCCGGUCAUCUGUUCCGGCAGAUCUCUGAGGUGGGCGGAGUUCUGUGGAAACUUCCAGACGCAGGCCGCCACUUUUUCACGUUUUCUCGUCCUAAGCUUGUGUUGUCUCUGCUGGAUUUGAUAAGUCAUUUGGAGCCACUAGUCUCAAAUCUUCCGGGAAACAUAUAACUAUUUCUCUCAUGUUCUCGUGAAGCAUGGCAAUAGAAAACCAGUUCUCUUGCUCUUUUCAUUCAUAACUAAAUAGAAUAAAACCUUUUGAGUGGAUUUGUUCAUAAAAAUCUCCACUCGCUGCAGCAGAAAACAAAGUUUUAUGAUGGAUUUCUCCACUCAUUUGUGUGCAUAGUGUCUCUAUAAUCAGGAUAUAGAUGUAGUAGCCAUUCAACUGAAUGAUGCAUUACACCGCAUUAGUUUUAAACCCUUUUUUACAACAGUAGUGAUCUUGUUUUAUAAGCAAAUGUACCUGGUGCUUUGUAUGUAUGUAGAGAAAGGCUUGUGUGUACUCUGCCUUAGUUGCGAGACAUAGCCUUAUGAGAACAUGACUACAAGCUUUGAGUUGUUCUCAUUCUCUUGUAUAUUGGGUAUUGUGAGUAUUAUUCUACUUUGAGAUGUUUGUGCAUACUCAGCCUUAGUUGCGAGAGGUAAUUUCAAUGUUAAUUUUAAUGA